rnacentral:sRNA from 1 species
GGUUUUUUACAUAGCCACCACCAUAACCCAUCGCAGUAACUUCGAGGCACAAUCGAUUUCUCAUGAGAAAACUUGUUUUCAUUGCAGAGUUUUUUGCAUGCAUUUUCACACAAAGGUAGAGUUGCCUUUUCAGAAACUUUCAUGCAUUGAUUUGGGACACAAUGUUUAACACACACUUCCAGUGUACUCGCAUAUGUUGAAACCAUCAUCGUAAAUAAAACUACUAUCAUCAAAACUCUGCAUAUCUUUUUCAUUGUUUCAGGCGCUAGUAUUUGAAAAUCGAGAUGAGUUUGCGAGUGUUCAAACAAAUUUA